GAGUCGUACAGGGUACGCGUAUAUCUUCACGUCGUACCCGGGUUUCUGUACUGGGGCCGCACGGGUGCGUAACGCGUGGGAAUCUGCCCUUGGGUACGGAAUAACUCAGAGAAAUUUGUGCUAAUACCGUAUAAUGUCUUCGGACCAAAGAUUUAUCGCCCAAGGAUGAGCCCGCGUAGGAUUAGCUAGUUGGUGAGGUAAAAGCUCACCAAGGCGACGAUCCUUAGCUGGUCUGAGAGGAUGAUCAGCCACACUGGGACUGAGACACGGCCCAGACUCCUACGGGAGGCAGCAGUGGGGAAUAUUGGACAAUGGGCGAAAGCCUGAUCCAGCAAUGCCGCGUGAGUGAUGAAGGCCCUAGGGUUGUAAAGCUCUUUUACCCGGGAUGAUAAUGACAGUACCGGGAGAAUAAGCUCCGGCUAACUUCGUGCCAGCAGCCGCGGUAAUACGAGGGGAGCUAGCGUUGUUCGGAAUUACUGGGCGUAAAGCGCGCGUAGGCGGUUUUUUAAGUCAGAGGUGAAAGCCCGGGGCUCAACCCCGGAAUUGCCUUUGAAACUGGAAAACUAGAAUCUUGGAGAGGUCAGUGGAAUCCCGAGUGUAGAGGUGAAAUUCGUAGAUAUUCGGAAGAACACCAGUGGCGAAGCGACUGACUGGACAAGUAUUGACGCUGAGGUGCGAAGCGUGGGGAGCAAACAGGA
rnacentral:rRNA from 1 species